GAUGAACGCUGGCGGCGUGCCUAAUACAUGCAAGUCGAGCGAACGGACGAGAAGCUUGCUUCUCUGAUGUUAGCGGCGGACGGGUGAGUAACACGUGGAUAACCUACCUAUAAGACUGGGAUAACUUCGGGAAACCGGAGCUAAUACCGGAUGAUAUUUUGAACCGCAUGGUUCAAAAGUGAACGACGGUCUUGCUGUCACUUAUAGAUGGAUCCGCGCUGCAUUAGCUAGUUGGUAAGGUAACGGCUUACCAAGGCAACGAUGCAUAGCCGACCUGAGAGGGUGAUCGGCCACACUGGAACUGAGACACGGUCCAGACUCCUACGGGAGGCAGCAGUAGGGAAUCUUCCGCAAUGGGCGAAAGCCUGACGGAGCAACGCCGCGUGAGUGAUGAAGGUCUUCGGACCGUAAAACUCUGUUAUUAGGGAAGAACAUAUGUGUAAGUAACUGUGCACAUCUUGACGGUACCUAAUCAGAAAGCCACGGCUAACUACGUG
rnacentral:rRNA from 1 species